UUUCCAUCAGCCUCCUAUUCAGCUCUCCUCCUAGUCCAGCCAUGUAAUGCAAGUCAACAGGGUGCCUCCCUUAAGGGAGAUUUACAUCUCUUACAAUUCUCUUAACAGCACCCCGUGGAUAGGUCUGGGCCUCACACACCCAGCCAGGCCUUAAAAGUCCAUCCAAUAGUAUUAAACUUAAAAAGCCCUCCCUGCCAGUUCCAGGGGAAAGUGGUCCCCUCCACUCCUGUACUGAGACUAUAGACUUGAUCUAUGCCAGAAGAAGGGACCCAAGAGACAACCCCUGACUAACGCAGAUGAGGUUUGAGUCACAGAUGGAAGCAGCUUUGUCAGACGGGACCUGCUUCUCAGGGUAUGCAAGAGUUACAGCAUGCUCUGCCCCCAGGAACUUUUGCUCAUUUAGCAGAACUGAUUGCCUUAACCAGAGCUCUAGAUCACACAAGGGAUUUGUAAGGCAUCUUCACUCUGCAUGGAGACCUCAGUCUUCCAGUAACAGUAAGGCAAAAAGAGCCAACCAGGCUCUAUGAAAAACAUCACAAGGAUAAAAAUGAGUGCUUGGUAAGUAAGGUUUAGAAGGAAAGAGCUUUUUAAAUAAGGAAAAAACAUGGUUUGUAAGAAUCCUGAUGGCUAGUUUACUCUAGACUGAAAUGAAAAUGAUGGAAUGUUUCAAGUAAGUUGAAGAGGGUAUGUGAAGUCACAAAAAGUUAUAAAAAAAAAAUUGGACAUGCUAAGUGCUGUUCUGGGGGGUGUCUGUGCCAUGUUCUAGGAAGAAUGUUGUCUCUGGGUCAAUCAGACUAGACAGGUACAAAUCCAAAUUCGUACUUUUCCUGGAAAAAGCCAAACAGCUCCAGGACCAGGCAAAGCAGGGCUGGGAUUUCUGGCCUGAUAUCUGGUCACGGAAAUCCUGGCUGUUUCCUCUCCUUGGCCCAAUAACUUCUGCAAUCUUGAUGCUUCUCUUUGCACUGUGUGUUUUUAAUGCCCUUGUUCGUUUUGUCUCUAACAGACUAAAAGCUGUUAAACUCCAAAUGGUCAUCAGGCGAGGCUUCCAGCCGAUUCCACUGGAUGACCUGAGCAGCCCUCUGGACCGAGUGGCACCGUCUUUCCAAGGCCACUGUUGCAAGAGGAAAUACCCAAACCCCCCUCGACGCCCACAUGCCAGCUUCGAAGAAGUUACAGAAAACGGAACUCCAUCCAUAAUCCCAAAGAAUUUUGGGUAUUACCUCUUGAGGGAAAAAUAUUAGGCAGAAAGUCAGUUAUGAGCUUAUGUGUGUGUGACAUAAAAGUCUAAUGUGUCCAGCAUAUGCAUCUGCACCUCAGUCAUCCUGACAAUGUUUCACUGGAAGCCCGGCCUUUGCAUCCUGCCCUGCCCCCUUCUACCUGAUAACCUGCCAGGUGGAGAUCCCCACCCCUUCUGCCUGACAAAUCUUCCACAACCUCCCAGAUACAGCCCAGUAUCUGCAUUUCAGUAUUGCAGAACAGGCGGGGGUUGGAUCUCAUUUUCAUAGAGGAGGGGGGGUUAUGCACAGCCCUUAAGGAGGAAUGCUGCUUCUAUGUAGACAAGACAGGGGUGGCGAGGGACAACAUGGCUCAACAACGUAAACGCUUAGAGGAAAGACAGUGGGACAGACUUCAGCAACAGGGAUGGUUUGAGUCGUGGUUCACUAAGUCUCCCUAGCUGAAAAUGUUAAACUCAUGGUAAUUCGUCAACAAUAUGUAACACACGGGGAAGGGAAAACAGAUGGUCUCUAAGAUUAGAGACCCUGGCCUAAGAGGAGUGGGGAAUGAAGGGUUAAAAAGUUAAAAGCCGCCCCCCCCAACCUCCUCUGGUGAACUUUCCUGACCUCAUUAGACUUGCUCUGCAUAGCCAUUCUCUGUAAAGUUAAUUAGUCAGUAAAUUACCCCAAUGUGAGCGUAACCUUAGUUUCACCUAAGUAAGAUAGAAGAAGUCACCGUAUAUCUCUUUGCCUCCUGGAACUCUGACCCCACCAUGUGUCCCUUAUCGCCAUUCAGCUGCAUUCCUAGGUAUCAUCAAGGCAGUUCCUGCAAUCUUGUGUGGCCCUCCCUUUUGGCAAUAGGAGGCUUUUUGAUACUCCCUGUAUAGGCCAUAUGGUUCUUUGAGGUCUAAUCAGGCCCUUACUCGGUAUCCUAUACUCCCUGUAUUCAUAAAUCAACUGGUUGUAAAAUCACUUAACUUGUAUCAAUUGUUUACUCUAUACCUCUGUCUGAUCUAUGCAAUGAUUGAUUUUCUUUGUUUAAACGUGUAUAAAAACCCCAACCCAAGACUAUUUGGGGCCGCUCGCCUGUACUGGGACGGGGCCCCGACAUGUCGGAUCAUCAAUAAACUUUACCCUUUGUUAAUUACAUGAGAGAAGGUCUCUUGGAGCGUUUUUGGGGUGGCAAGAGUAAUUCAACUCUAAUUCAACUGUAACAGUGUCUGAUUUCAAAAUGACAUUAUUCCUUCUCAUAUAUGCUAUAUAUAUAUGUGUGUGUGUGUGUGUGUGUAUUUGUGUAUGUUGUAUAUUGUUGUAUUUUAUGUCUGAAUGGUAAAAAAUUCCUUAAGAGCUCUGUUUUAACUGACAUAGGCAAAUGAGUGUUCACAUAAAUUAAAACUAUUUAAUUAACCCAAAUAUCUUUUUUUUUUUUGAGAGGAAGAGUUAGAGACAGAGGAAGGUUUUCCUUUUUCUGUUGGUUCACCCCCCCAAUGGUGCUGUGGCCAGCGCUGGGCAGAUCCGAAGCCAGGAGCCAGGUGCUUCCUCUUGGUCUCCCUUGCGGGUGCAGGGCCCAAGCACUUGGGCCGUCUUCCACUGCCUUCCCGGGGCCACAGCAGAGAGCUGGCCUGGAAGAGGAGCAUCUGGGACAGAAUCCGGCACUCCAACCAGGACUAGAACCCGGGGUGCCAGCCCCACAGGCAGAGGAUUAGCCUAGUGAGCCAUGGCACCGGCCUCAAAUCUUUUGAUUCAUGUGACCUAAGCUGCUGCUGCCUUCUUGCAAUAAACCUUUUCCUCUGGCCAGGCCUCAUCUUUGGUGAAUUGAAGUGGCGAGCAUCAAGAGCUGGAUUAUUCGCUCAAUAACCACAUUGAUGCCUCUGAUGAAAUUGACUGUGAGGAACAAGAAUUAAUGCAAUAAAAGGUGUUUUUCAAGCAGAGUGCCAACUGAACCUGAAAUGAAAAUAUAAUUAUCUUUAUAUAUGUUAGUGUCCAGUACCAUCACAGGGACUAGAGUUGCUUUCCAAAUUAAAUGCUCAAUUUUUCAGGCAAUCUAAGUAUAAAUGCUCAAAAUGAAUUGGUGGUCUUUGCUUUCUCUGCACUUUGCUGUGGCACCUUGUGCAUCAUCAUGUCCUUGCAACCUAAGGGUGUCUCCCUCUCCUCAUCUGCCUGAGAAAUGGACUCAAGUAUGCAGUGACUGGAGAGGAGGUAAAGAACUGUAUGCAGUGCUUGAUCAGAAUCAGCAACCAGGUUCAAACUGAUGUUGCAUACCUUGCUGCAUUCAUAGAUGCAUGUGAGAUGGAGCAAACAUUGGCAUCGAGAAGACAGGUGAGCAUUUCUGCCUCAUCCUUGACACCAAGGAGCCAUUUUGCUGAUCACUACAUCACAGCAGAAGGCAUGUGGUGGCAGACAUGAGCAGGAGGUGAUAUACAAACUGAACUACAAGCUGUGCAAGGUGAGGAGGAUGACUAGGUACAAAGGGAAUCCCACCCCUGAUGGCUCAUGAUGCUUGUGCCGUGUGCAACCCAGAUCCUCUCAUCAAGGUGAUCAUGGGAUGGAUUACUGAUUUGGGGACCCUAUGCAAUUUGACAUGAGGUAAUAAACCUCAGGUUUUCCUGCCCAGGGAUAAGAGCAUCUCUGACUUACAGUGGCUGCAGAGAGAUAAAGCAGUGUAGCAGCUAGAGAGACCAAGGACUACUCUGCAGUAGCAUGACUUUUUUUUUGCUCCAAUAAAUGAUAAAUGCUCAUGAAAAAAUAAAAAAUGAAUUGCUAAAUGUAAAAGAUAGAUUUUUCUAAAUACAUGUACUCUUGGCUUAAAAUAUAUAGAAGGGAUUGGGCCUUUUGGUAAAUGUUUUUAUAAGUUGUUAUACACAGCUGUUCAAAAUUACUUGCUAAGUUAUCACUAAACAAUAAGUUACCUACAAGAUGGUAGAGUCAAAAUGAAGCCUUUGGUAGGGGUGGUAUCUGUGCCUUUAACAGAUAAAAACAAUGGUCUAGGUGGGAGUGAUUUUAUUUUCUGCUCUUUUCUUCCACAUGUGCAGGGGAUGAACUCUAAGAGCAUCAGCUUGACCAGCCCAUGAUAUGUCAGUGGAUUGUUCAGCUCAGGCCUUAAAGCUUUUUGGAAACCAACAGCAUCACAGCUCACUUGGACUUCACACUGUUAUUUUCAACAUGAAAAUGUGUGGUUUGGUAGGGGUUUCUUAUUCCUCAAAGAGGCAGAGAGCCUGACUGGCAGAGGAAGGCUGCAGAAUAGGAAUGUGUGUGUUAUUUCUUUCACAUGCCCACAGUUUACUUUAAAACAGGAAAAUAGGGCUUCUGCAAAAUGGAAAAUUUUGGUUUAUGACUGAUUUUGAGGAGUGGCUUUCCUUUUCAUGGACACUUAAUUUUGUUCUGAUGUUAAUAUACCAAAUUUCUUCUGUGUAUCAGAUAACACCACCAUUCACAAGUUAAAAUUCUUGGUAUUUGGAUAUCUGUUAGAUGCUACUAAGAAAAUAUAAAUAAGCUUUCUUUUUAAAGCUUUUGAGGUGGUGUCACAGAAUAGCGUGUUGUAGAUACAGUCAACUGCUUUGUUACCUUCCAAGUAGGCAUCUGUAAGUACUGAAACUUAAGAUGGCAGGUGAUAUCCUGUAGACACUGCUGUUCAGAUUGAACAUAACUGACAGUUCAUUCUUUCUCUCUAAAAGUGAUAGGGGAUUUGUAGCUUAGUGGUUUUUCAUUUAUUUAUUUCUAAUUUGCUGCUAAUAAUGUAUAUGAAUUUAACAUUCUGUGUAAAUUGUCAUUUGUUACUGCACAGUUUAUGCAGUGUUGCUUUGCCAAAUAAAAGUUCAAAGUAAAAAAAAAAGUUAUCAAGGAUAAGAAAUAUUGUUUUAAGAUUUAUUUAAGUAUUUGCAAAGCAGAAUAACACACAGAGAGAGAGAGAGAGAGAGGUCCUCCAUCCACAGGUUCACUCCCCAAUGGCUGGAUCUUGCUGAUCUGAAACCAAGAGUCAGGACCCUCAUCCAAGUCUCCUACAUGGGUGCAGAGGCCAAAGGAUUUGUGCCAUCCUCCACUGCUUUUCUAGGGCAUUUUGAACCAGUGCUCUUAUGAAAUGCCAGCACUGCAGGUGGAGGUUUAACCUACUAUGCCACAGUGCUGGCCCCAAUAAAAAUAAUUCUAAAUCAACAUACCAAAAUUUAGAAUUCUUUAAAGUUUUAUUUAUGUAUUUGAAAGGCUGAGUUAGAGAGUGGGACAGAAAUCUUCAACCUACUGGUUCAAUGCCAGACGUCUGCAGCAAGCAAGCACUGGGCCAGACUGAAGGCAGGAGCCUGGAGCUCCAUUCAGGUCUCCUACAUCUGUGGCAAGGAUCUAAACACUUGUGCCAUUUUCCUCUGCUCUUCCCAGGCCAUUAGCAGGGAAUUUGAUCUGAAGCAGAGCAGCCAUGACAUGGGACCAUAUGGAUGCCAGCAUCAUAGGUGGUGGCCUUACCCACAACAUCACAGUUCCAGCCCUGACAUUAAAAAUGUUCAAGGUACAGCCAGCAUCAUAGGUUAAGUGCAGUCUAUCAUACCUGCAUCCCAUAAGAGUACAUGAGUCCAGACUGCUCCACUUCUAAUCCAGCACCCUGUGAAUGUGCCUGGGAUAGCAGAAGAUGGCCCAAGUGCUGGGACCCCUGCCACACAUGUGGGAGAACCACAUGGACUUCCCUGGCUUCUGGCUUCUUCAGUCUGUCCCAGCUCUAGCUGCUGCAGUCACUUGGGAAGUGAUCCAGAUGAUCACUUUCUCAUUGUCUUUAUUUUUUUGGAAUUCUUUCAAAUAAAUAAAACUAGGAUUUAUACCCCACAUUAAGUUAGUAAUUUUUUUACAAAAAUAUAAAUAUUAAUGAUAAUUUUUUGCAAGAGGUUUUCAUAUUUGAUUUUAAAGUCUAAUAACUUUCUACAACACAUUUAUUUAUUUGAAAGGCAGAGAUACAAAGAGAGAAAGAGGGAAAGAAAGAUUUUCCAUCCAAUGACUCUACCCAAAUGACGGGGUUGGGUCAGGCAGGAGCCAGGAGCUUCUUCUGGGUCUCCCAUACAGGUUCAGGGGCUCAAGUACCACAUUUCUCUGCUUUGCCCAGGUGCACUAGUAAAGAGCUGGAUUAGAAGUUGAGCAGCUGGGAUUCAACUGAGCUGGUACCCAUAUAAGAGGCUGGCACUGCGGUGGAGGUUUAACCUUCUAUGCCACAGUACCUGCCCCAGUCUAAUAACUUUUAAAAAUUUUGAGAGAGAUAAAGAGAGGGAGAGAUAGAGUGAAAUAUCUUCCAUCUACUAGUUCACUCUUCAAAUACCCACAAUGGCUGGAGCUGAGCCAAUCCAAAACAGGAGCCAGGAGCUUCUUGCAUAUCCCCCAUGCUCAAGCACACCUUGCACUGCUUUCCUAGGAUUAGCCUACAAUGCUCUCUAAAUAACAUUUUCAACCAUCUAAUCAACUGCAACUUCUUUUUUUUUAUUUAUUUAUUUGACAGAUAGAGUUAGACAGUGAGAGAGACAGAAAGGUCUUCCUUCCAUUGCUUCACCCCUAAAUGGCUGCUACAGCCAUUGCAGUAUGGAUCCGAAGCCAGGAGCCAGGUGCUUCCUCCCUGUCUCCCAGGUCUCCCAUAUGGGUGCAGGGGUCCAUGCACUUGGGCCAUCCUCCACUGCCUUCCUGAGCCACAGAAGAGAGCUGGACUGGAAGAGGAGCAACUGGGACUAUAAUCCAGCACCCAUAUGGGUUGCCAGCACUGAAGGUGGAGGGUUAACCAAGUGAGCCACCAACUGCUUUUCUAGGAUUAGCCUACUACGCUACAGUGCCUGGCCCCUCUAAUAACAUUUCAACCCUCUCCUCAACUGUGUGGGGAGCAACUCGGACUAGACUAAGUUACUGGAAUUAAGACUUAUUCUAUGCAUCUGCUCUCCCACAAUAUGGCGCUGAGAAGGGAGUAGCAGCUUCUACACAGCUGCCUCCAGUUCAACCAAUAAACUGUAGGACCUACUCCUGAUUGGAGGAGAGCAGCGUACUCGGCGUGUGGGUAGCAGAGUUGGGAUUGGUGGUAGAGGACUAUAAAGGAGGAGAGAGACAACAUGCACCAGGAACAUCUAAGGGGAACAUCUAUCUGAAGGAACACCUGUGCAGCCCCCGAGAGAGCCGGCCGGCGGUGUGCCGCUCCCCUGCGGAAGUGGGGAAAGUGGCUAGGGGGAACCGCCCUUCCACGGAGGUGGAAGGGUUGGUAGCCAACCCAGGAAGAACCAGCAGCAAACCCGGGGAGGGCCGAGCAGACAAAAGAACAGCGCAGGGUCCUGUGUCGUUCCUCCACGAAGAGGGGGAGUGACAUAAUGGUGCCGUGACUCGGAUAGGAAACCUAGGAGGGAAGAAGCAGGAAAAUACUGGAGAGAGAGACUAGAAGAGCCUAGGGGAAAGCCGGACGGAAAAGGUGCCGGAAGAAGCUAUUGAAAGCCUAGGCAUAGACUCGGAUACGGACUGUGGGAAAGAAGUUAGGAUUUAAAGUGAAAGCAAGAAGAAACUUAGACUCAGAUACGGACUGCAGGUUGAAAGUGAAAGUGAAAUCUAUAAGAAACUUAGACUUGGAUACGGACUGUGGGGAGAGGCCAGGAGAAAUGAGGGAGGAAUAUUGUUGGAAGAAAAAUUAGGGAAACAUACCGGGUAGAGAAAAAUGUUAGGGAGGAUGAAGCCGCGAGUGCAGGCCGAGGUGGAGACGUAAGCUAUCUUGGAAUUCUUCAAGUCAGCCCGGGGAGCAAAAGGCAAAAAUCUGGAACCAGAGGCAGAGACAUGGGCCGCCAGGUUGGAAUUCGCCAGGUUAGUCUGGGGAACUUGGACUGAAUGCCGGUGGCGGAAACGUGAGCUACGCUGUGUGAUUCGCGGAAGCCGCUGCGUGCAGAGAGAGCACGGGGUGUGAAUAGAUAGGGAACGCGGGGCUGGCGCGAAGGCCAUGGUGCGGGCGCGAAGGGCGUGGAGACUGCAGAGCGCGCGAAGCCGAGCCGCGCAGAGCCAGGAGCCCGCCGCAGGGCGGGUGCCGGGAAGUUGCGCAGAUGAGAGAAGCGUGGGCUGAAGCGGCGCAAAGCCGGGAAGCCGCCGCGGGGCAGCGAGGUGCCGAGAAGCAGCCUCGGGGCGGGCACCGGGAACCGCGAAGAUAAGAGAAACAGAAGUUUAGAAGUAAAAUGAGAGAAAUAGGAAUGCUGGCAGAUAGAAGUAAAAUAGGAGAAAUAGGAAUGCCUGGAGAUAGAGAAAUAGAGAAAAAUAAGGCCUCCCCACAACACGGCAAUGAGAGAGCUUGGAUUCGGUCUGCCUUAUUAGUAAGACGAUAAGCACCUGUGGGCAGCUGCAGGUCACCGAAGACAGGCACGUUAUCAACACCAAUAAGUCUCCCCACAAGACGGCAAUGAGAGGGCUUGGAUUCGGUUUGCCUGAUUGCUAGGGCUUGUAAGCACCUGCAGGCAGUUCUAGCAGGGCAGAGCAUGCGCUGCAGGGCACCGAACACAGGCACGCAUCAGCGCCUAAAAACCUCCUCACAACAUGGCGAAAAGAGGACCCGGAUUCGGUUUGCCUGAUUGGUAGGGCUUGUAAGCAAGCACCUGUGGGCAACUCUAGCAAGCAGAGCAGAGUGUGUGCCGCGGGGCACCGAAGACAGGCGCGUAUCAACGCCAAAAAAUAAAAAGAAAGGGGGAUCUGUGGGGAGCAACUCGGACUAGACUAAGUUACUGGAAUUAAGACUUAUUCUAUGCAUCUGCUCUCCCACAAUAUGGCGCUGAGAAGGGAGUAGCAGCUUCUACACAGCUGCCUCCAGUUCAACCAAUAAACUGUAGGACCUACUCCUGAUUGGAGGAGAGCAGCGUACUCGGCGUGUGGGUAGCAGAGUUGGGAUUGGUGGAAGAGGACUAUAAAGGAGGAGAGAGACAACAUGCACCAGGAACAUCUAAGGGGAACAUCUAUCUGAAGGAACACCUGUGCAGCCCCCGAGAGAGCCGGCUGGCGGUGUGCCGCUCCCCUGCGGAAGUGGGGAAGGUGGCCAGGGGGAACCGCCCUUCCACAGAGGUGGAGGGAUGGCAGCCAACCCGGGAAGAACCAGCAGCAAACCUGGGGAGGGCCGAGCAGACGAAAGAACAGCGCAGGGUCCUGUGUCGUUCCUCCACGAAGACGGGGAGCGACAUAAUGGUGCCGUGACUCGGAUAGGAAGCCUAGGCAGGGUUUAGUGUCGUUCCUCCACGAAGAGGGGGAGCGACAAACUGCAAUUUUUUAAAAUUUCCAUUUGAUUGACUCCUUUCCAACAACUAGCCAUCUCUUAUAAGCUAUUGUCUCCUCCUUUAUUGUUUAGUUAUGGCCUUUCAUUAAAAAUGCUUGGCCUCAGGCCAGCGCCAUGGCUCAAUAGGCUAAUCCUCCACCUUACAGUGCCGGCACACCGGGUUCUAGUCCCGGAUGGGGCGCCGGAUUCUGUCCCGGUUGCCCCUCUUUCAGGCCAGCUCUCUGCUAUGGCCCGGGAGUGCAGAGGAGGAUGGCCCAAGUGCUUGGGCCCUGCACCCACAUGGGAGACCAGGAGAAGCACCUGGCUCCUGGCUUCCGAUCAGCAUGAUGCACCGGCCACAGCGCUCAGGCUGCGGUGGCCAUUGGAAGGUGAACCAAUGAGAAAAGGAAGACCUUUCUCUCUGUCUCUCUCACUGUCCACUCUGCCUGUCAAAAAAAAAAAAAUGCUUGUCCUUACAGCUGACAUUGUGGCACAGCAGGUUAAGAUGCUGCCUGUGAUGGCAGCAACCCAUAUGGGCACUGGUUUGAUUCCUCGUGGCCCACUUCUGAUUCACCUCCUAGCUAAUGCACCUGGGAAAACAGGAGAGGAUGGCCCAAGUCCUUGGGACCCUGCGCCCAUGUGGAAGACCUGGAUGGAUCUCCUGGCAGUGGUUUCUUCCUGGCCCAGUUCUGGUUGUAGUGGCCAUUUGGCUAAUGAACUAGCAGAUGGAAGAUCUUUCUCUCUGUUCUCUCUCUCUAACUCUACCUUUGAAAUUAAUUAAUCUUAAAGAGAAAUGUUUAUCUUAGAAGACUAGGAUAUUAAGAGUACCUAUUUUUUUGUAAAGAUUUCUUCAUUUGUAAGCCAGAGUUCACAGAGAGAGAGGAAGAGACAGAGAUCUUUGGUCUACUGGCUACAAUGGCUAGACCUGAGCCACAAUGGCCAGGAGCCAGGAGCUUCUUCUGGGUCUCACACAGGGACCCAAGGACUUGGCAAUUUUUCAUUAUUUUCCUUGGCGCAUUAGCAGGGAUCUGGAUCUGAAAUGGAAUAUUCAGGACUGGACAAGUGCCCAUGUGGGACGCCUGUGUCACAGGGGCUGGCUUUACACAACAUGCCACAACACUGGCCCCUAUACUUGACUUUUCUAGAUGUAUUUAAACUGUUCUAUGGAUUUUUUUCUGCUUUUGUUUCUAAGAUGUAUUAUUGUCUUUUUUGUUAAAGAUUUAUGUAUUUAUUUGAAAGGCUGAGUUACAGAGAGGCAGAGAGAGAGUUAGAGAGAGGUCUUACAUCUGCUGGUUCACUCCCCAAAAAGCUGCAAUGGCUGGAGUUAUGCCAAUCUGAAGCCAGGAUCCAGGAACAUCAUCUUUUGGGUCUCCAACACUAGUGCAGAGAGGCCAAGUACUUGGGCCAUCUACUGCUUUUCCAGGCCAUAGCAGAGAGCUGGAUCAGAAGUAGAGCAGUCAGGACUUCAACUGCCCCCAUAUGGGAUGCCAGCACUGCAGGCGGUGGUUUACCUGCAGUUCCACAGCACCUGCCUCAGGUGUACUUGUUUCUAAGUGUUCUCAUUCUUUUAUAAGGUUGAAUGCUUACAGAUUCCACACAUACUCUUUCAAUGUCUAAGUUUGGGUACCUUUCCAUUAGGUUUAACUUCUAAGUUAUCUGGGGGAACUUCCCAUUAGAAGAAGUACAGUACAAAAGGAUUUUCUUUAUCUUUUGGUAACUAAUUACAUGAGGGAAAGAAAUUUUGU